UACAGAGGGUGCAAGCGUUAAUCGGAAUUACUGGGCGUAAAGCGUGCGCAGACGGUUGCGUAAGUCAGAUGUGAAAGCCCCGGGCUCAACCUGGGAAUUGCAUUUGAGACUGCGUAGCUAGGGUGCGGAAGAGGGAAGCGGAAUUUCCGGUGUAGCGGUGAGAUGCGUAGAUAUCGUGAGGAACACCAGAGGCGAAGGCGGCUACCUGGACAAUUGCUGACGCUCAGGCACGAAAGCGUGGGGAGCAAAAGGG
rnacentral:rRNA from 1 species